rnacentral:ncRNA from 2 species
UUAUAUAACAAGCUCUGAUGGACUUAACCUAAAAACGGAUUGCCCAAAAUCAUUUGUUCAUGGUUUUGCCACGAUAGGGUACUGUUGGAAACGGCUUUACCUUCUGUAUUUGAAAAGGAGUAAAAAAAUGAGAAAA